UGAGUAAUGUCUGGGAAACUGCCUGAUGGAGGGGGAGUAACUACUGGAAACGGUAGCUAAUACCGCAUAACGUCGCAAGACCAAGAGGGGGACCGUUCGGGCCUCUUGCCAUCGGAUGUGCCCAGAUGGGAUUAGCUAGUAGGUGGGGUAACGGCUCACCUAGGCGACGAUCCCUAGCUGGUCUGAGAGGAUGACCAGCCACACUGGAACUGAGACACAGUCCAGACUCCUACGGGAGGCAGCAUG
rnacentral:rRNA from 1 species